ensembl:rRNA 5S_rRNA 5S ribosomal RNA
AUCUGCGGACAUACCAGCUGAACGCACCUGACCUCCUGUGAUCUCGGAAGCUAAGCAGCAGUCUGGUUAGUACUUGGAUGGGAGACUGCCUUGGAAUACUGGGUGCUACAGGCU